rnacentral:piRNA from 1 species
AACAAAUCACCGGUAUGACAAAAGCAAAAG